GCUGGGACGCCCAUCCGGACUCCAGGGACAACAGGGAGAUGGUGCCGAAGCUUGGGUGCACUUCCACCACGUAUUUCACAGCCAGGGAGGCGAAGCUGCACCCCCCAGCGCUGGCCCUGCUCAGAAGAAAUGUGCAGUCAUAUUGGAACAAAUAAAGUGUCUUUUAAGAACUUGAGAAUUCCUGAUGUAUAUCAACCUGGAAGGUCAGAGACUGCUUUCAGCAGACAGAGGAAACAGCAGCAGAAGCAGCGUAGGGAUGAGCCCAUGCCACUCAAUCCCAGCGUGAUCUCCAGGUACCACCAGCAGAGGGGACAGAAGACGACAGCCCAGUGCUUUGUCCAGAGGGUACAGCAGGGCUGGGAGUCAUAGAAUCAUUAAGGCUGGAAAAGAUCUCUAAGAUCAUCUUGUCCAACCACAAUCAGCCAGCUGGUAGCACUGAGCCGACACCUCGCUGCCUUCCAAGCAGGAGUCCAACUGCAGCAGCUCAGAAGUAAGAACAACAAGUCCUAAAGCCCAUCCCCUGCGUCCUCUAGCAUGGGCACCAGGUCUGUCCCAGGGCAAGCUGAGCUGGGGUCUGAAUGCAACAGCUGCAUGAUCAGGAGCUGCAAGCUUUGCAGAGGGCAAGGCUAGAAUUCAGGUCAAACUUAAUGAGUAAGAGUAAUCUGACCAAAAGACAACCACUUUAAUAAGGCCUCCCCAAACUGCUCUUUAACAAAAACAGCCAACUGCACGUUUGCUGGGAGAACAAGACUUGACUCUGUGACAAGUCCUCAGAAAAGCAUCUGUGACUGCAGUGAAUCAUCAGUGCUAUGUUGCUAUGAAAGGACAAAUAUUCCCUGGGAUAUGUACAUACAAGUGCGGGCUGUGCUGCGGGGCUGCUGCUCUGCUCAGCUCUGGAGCAGCAUGUGGAAGGAUGGCUGCCUUCAUGGACAGACAGAAGACAGCCCGAGAGCACUGAGAAUCACUCAGCUACGACGAAAGCCAAACAGCAGGCCAGCUUAAAGCCCAAGGAGCAGACAGAGGGCUAUGAGGGCACAAGGAUUGCCCCGGAGAAGCUUUCCCCUUCAUUUAUUCUGUGAUGGCACGAGGCUCCGGUUUUCCAUCAGCCACGCUGGGAGCACACUUCCCCAUGUCACCUGUGGCACAGCCAUGGUAAAAAAAAAAAAAAGUAUUUUUGAGUCCAGCCCCUUUUGUUUCAAAUGGAAGAUGUGGAAUAGUAACAACUGUAGAAGCAGAGAGGCAUGGCAAUAGGAAGGGAUUGUUCUGAGGGAACAAAUUAAUCAUCAUUUCCUGCUGUUACGCAGCAUUCUGCUCAUACUGCUGGUUCCAGUGUGCGAGGAUGGGCCUGCCCUCCUAGCCACAUGUCUACAGCACACAACUACCCUCAAUUUUAUCACCUGUAGUGAUAACAAGCAAUGAAGGCAAUCAUCACUUCAGCUUAAGAUGAAAUAGAAAAGAAUACACUGAGGGUAUGGACCUUAUGUCUAGAGCAGGCUGAUGGAGGGUUCUGCAUGGAAAUCCAACAUUAAAUGGAGGAGAAUGGGACACGAUCUUCCACUGGAUGUGUCAAACUCAGCUUUGGAGAAGAUUACACUGAGGCAACCACCAGAAGAGCACUGGAGAAAGCACUGGGAGAAGCAAGACAGCUGCCGGUCCCCCUCCCCCACCCAGCUCCCAUCCACACAAGGCCUGGGGAGCUCCUCAGGGAAGCCUGGCCAAGAGCCGCUGCUGCCCGUACCUGAUAACCACGCUCACAUCUCCAUACCAGGUGGGCGACUCUUGGGUCUCCUGCAAGGGUUUGAGUUUGAUGAAUUGGCUCAGCUCAGAAGUGUGAUGUUCUAACAGUAGCUAUGGGGUUACAAAGCCAAGAUACAGACGCACAGGUUGUUCCAAGAGUAAUUUGUAUGGUGUGCGCUAUCGGGUACUUGCGCUCGGAAUUUUGACAGCCUACAAUAACUGCUUCCCUGACAAUGUUCCCUUCAUUUGUAGGUGUCACACUUAAGAAGAGUAAAAGCAUUUUAAUGCGACAGAAAAAUUUGGCAUGGGAGCUAAUUACUUUAAUUUGAUAGAUUUUUUUUGGCUCAUCUGCAUACUUGACAAUAAUUUAUGACUUACAUUGGUAAUUAGAGGCUGAGUCUCACGCUGAAAUAUUGUAAAUAGCUUUGAAGACUUUCGCUGAUCCUUCUAACUUUCUUUUAGAGACGAUGAAUUUAUUAGUAGAUAAUAUGUAAAAUAUUUGUACUUCUGACCUUUUGUAAAACAUUCCUUCUGCAUUUUAAAUGAUUGGUUGUCAGCAUCACUUUCCUCAGAACGAAGCGAGAUGUUGUAAAUAAGAUCUUGAAUUAAGCAGCAUAUUAAAUCUACGUAUUCAGUGGCAACCUUUGAUAGCCCUCAUAUAUCAUGCGGAUUCUGUUGGUUCUGCUACAUUCAGCUAUGUCAUAUAACAUUGUGAAUUAUAAUUUUUUUACACUGAACUUUAAGGUUUCUGGACAAUUUGAACAUCAUUCUUCUGCUACUGACAAAGGAUAUGAAGUUAACAGGUUAGUACAUGAUUUCUUGCCUUUUUGGUGUAUGAGAAAGGAAGUUUUUUUGCUGGAGGAGCUGACGAGCUUUAAACAAAUCCUCCAGUGGGGAAGUUGCCAGACGAUUUCCAAAUGUUUAUUUUUUAUUCAGCUAUUCUGCUGAAUUUCUCAAGAACGUCCUUGGGAUUUCUCCUGGCCAUCUUCCUGCAUGGUCUAUAUAUUGCCCUGGUUUUACAGGUAUCUUAAAAAUCUGUUGAAUUCACGGAAGUCUGCUGAACCAUUCUGAGAGCCAGUCAAUCACCAGUAGCACUCUCACAGAAUCAUAGAAUCAACCUCAAAUAAUGUGAUAGAUGAAAGAAUUUGUAAAGUCAAAGUGUUUAAACUCUAAUUCCUUAGGAGUUCAAAUACAGCGCUACCCUCAACUAUAACUGACCACAUCAGUAUUAUCUCCUGAGCGUGUCUUGUCUGUCAAUACUGCUUAAUCGUCUUCUUUGUAAUGGGGUAUGUCUUAAGAAGAAGGACACUGGAUAAGUCAUAUACAUAAAAGAGAUCUACAGCUUGCUGGCAUAUGAAAUUCCUCUAAUACAUAUUUUUAUGGAACUACCAGCACAUUAUGUGCUUGGCAGCAUAAAUAAAAAAGCGUGUUACCCUGGCAAUUUCACAUUUACUACAUUAGUUAGUAAAUGCAACGGCCACCCUUACUUUCCUACAAUAAAAACUGCUGAGCCUUUUCAUGAAAGAUGAUUGCAAUUUCCACUGGUCUGUAUAUUCAAUAAAGAACCAUAACUCAUCAAAAGUUGAGCUAUUUGCUCUUAAGAUAGAAGACCAUUUUUCUCAAACACUUGACAUGACAUUAACUAUUCAUGAAAGUUGAGUGU